rnacentral:misc_RNA from 1 species
GAUGAAGAACGUAGCGAAAUGCGAUAAGUAAUGUGAAUUGCAGAAUUCAGUGAAUCAUCGAAUCUUUGAACGCACAUUGCGCCCCUUGGUAUUCCGAGGGGCAUGCCUGUUCGAGCGUCAUUUCAACCCUCAAGCACAGCUUGGUCUUGGGCUUCGCCGCUAACCCGGCGGGUCUUAAAAUCAGUGGCGGUGCCGUCGGGCCCUGAGCGCAGUAAUCUCCCUCGCUAUAGGGUCCCGGCGGAUGCUGGCCAGUAACCCCCAAUUUUCUAUGGUUGACCUCGGAUCAGGUAGGGAUACCCGCUGAACUUAAGCAUAUCAAUAAGCGGAGGA